rnacentral:rRNA from 1 species
AUUCGGUAAAAGCGGAUCUGUCGUCAUAUGUGUGUUCUGACGAAAAUACCCACCAUGGCUUGCAGCCAGCUGCGAGACUUGGUGUGAAUUGCGGGACACACUAAGCACUUACUCUUUGAACGCUCAUUGUGGCCUCGGGCCUUCCCAUGGCUUCGUCUGUGUGAGGGUCG